GACGAACGCUGGCGGCGUGCUUAACACAUGCAAGUCGAACGAAGAGCGAUGGAAGCUUGCUUCUAUCAAUCUUAGUGGCGAACGGGUGAGUAACGCGUAAUCAACCUGCCCUUCAGAGGGGGACAACAGUUGGAAACGACUGCUAAUACCGCAUACGAUCUAAACUCGGCAUCGAGGAUAGAUGAAAGGUGGCCUCUACAUGUAAGCUAUCACUGAAGGAGGGGAUUGCGUCUGAUUAGCUAGUUGGAGGGGUAACGGCCCACCAAGGCGAUGAUCAGUAGCCGGUCUGAGAGGAUGAACGGCCACAUUGGGACUGAGACACGGCCCAGACUCCUACGGGAGGCAGCAGUGGGGAAUCUUCCGCAAUGGACGAAAGUCUGACGGAGCAACGCCGCGUGAGUGAUGACGGCCUUCGGGUUGUAAAGCUCUGUUAAUCGGGACGAAAGGCCUUCUUGCGAAUAGGGAGAAGGAUUGACGGUACCGGAAGAGAAAGCCACGGCUAACUACGUG
rnacentral:rRNA from 1 species